AUAGCAUGAGUCAUUUCCCUUUGGCUUUAAAAAGACAAACGUGUAGAAGGUUUUCUAAUCACUAGUUUUAGAGCUUUUAAGCAUAGUUUAGUUUUAUUCUUUCUUGGUUCCUUUGAUGGCCAGGACCUCAGUUAAAUUACUUGGAGAUUUUCUCAUGAGGCGUGGCUAAGUUUGUCUAGUCGAAGGUCAAUUUGAGAACUCGGUUUCGAACAUCUGUGAGAUCUAAUUAUUUUAUUUAUUUCUUUUAUUUAUUGGUAUUUGUACGUUUCCUGAUUUAAUUGCUUAUGCUUGUUAUGUUAUUUGAAUGUCAAGGGCCCGAUAUUCGAAUUAACUUAAUAAUCUAAUGCCAAAUUAAUUGAUUGAAUCCGUAAUUGUUCAAUUGAUUAAUACCAGUGGCAACUAGUGUGAUUGGUUUCAUGUUAGGGAAACGUAUGAUCUAACUUAAACAAACCCUCGUAGCGCGUUUGUUGGUUAGGAUUGGGUUUUUCUAAUUAUUAGUGCAAUCGAGUAAUUAAAUUCUAUGGUCGUACCUAGGGUUAUUUCUUGGUUAGGGAAAUAGUUAACGGUCGUACCUUAACUAUCGAGAAAUUAAGGAAAGACUGAUUGUUCAUUGUGUGUAUGACAACUAUAACCAAUAUAUUAAUGAGUAAUUGAAUUAUUCUUGCAUCGAUGAUCAGUUGCAUGGACCGUGUCUGAAAAGUUGUACCUUUGGCUAGAGUCAUAUUGGUUAUUGAUUAAUUUCUAUUUAUUUCUAUUAGUUGUUUUAUUAGUUAGUUAAUUAGUUACUUUAUAUUCUCCAAAAACCCCCCGUAUUUCGGACUCUAAAAGAAAUAAAUUAUCCCUAAUCCCUGUGGAUUCAACCCUGCUUAUCACUAUCUACAGAAAUUAUAUUUUGUUUAAGCAGGUAUUUAUUAUUGCACAGGUUCGGCACCUGUCAAUUUUUGGCGCCGUUGCCGGGGACUGGUGCCAGAUUAAUUUGUUUCUUUUUGAGUUCAUCUUUUUUUUUCUAUUUAUUUUUCUCUUAUUUUUUUAUAUAGUUUAUGGCUUCUAACACUCUGUAUUUUGGUGAUAGACUGGAUUUUGUUUCCAGGGAAGGCAAUGAGGCUUGUUCUUUUGCUAAGUUUGCAUAUUCAGAGGCACUAAACUCUAUUAGAGACAGAAUGGCUGCUGCAACCUGUAAAAUUUGUUAUGCCAGGGAUCAUUCAACCGGUAUGUGCCCCGAAUAUCAAGAUAACCUGAGUGUCCCACUCAAUAAUUAUGGAGAUUUUUCACCCUGGUCUCAAACGUGGUAUAACUCUAAUCCAAACGGGUAUGAUCAAGAAUAGUGGGAUAACUCCAGUUAUAAUUAUACAACAUGACCAAUGAAUUUUCAGCAGUAUGAGUCUCAAGAAUCGUCAUCUAUGUCAGGUAUGUCUCUUGAAUAAAUAGUUGAACCAAUAGCUACUAAUACAUACCAAUUCCAACAGGAGACACAAAUGAGGAAUGAGAUGAUGAAGGAUGCAAUGAGUUAUCUGGCAGAUCAACUAUGUCUAUUGACAUCCAGAAUAAAUCGAUGGGCUUCUCAAAUGGAAGAAUUGCCCUCGAAAACCAUUGUUGAUCUAGAAAAAAAUGAGAGUGCAAUUUGCUUGACUAGUGAUGAGGAGAUGCAAGAGUGUCAAAAUGAGAAAUCUACAGAUGCAGUUGAAAAAGAAGCCGAAAAGGAAGAAAUGGAACCCCAACCGCAACCCAUUCAAGUGAAAGAAUCCAGUGAAAAAUCAUCAAAUGUGGUGACACCACCUCCAUUCCCUAACCCGCAUUUUCUUACCUCUUACUCUAUGAUUUCUGUUAAUGAGAUUGAUUUUGUUAUACCGGAAGUUCUUGAGUCUCAUGGCAGGAAUGAGUUAAGAGUAGUUAUGGUCAAAUAUCUUGAACCGUUGAAUGCUCUUGAUGGAGGAGUGGAUGAAGAAUUGCGAUCAAUGCUUGAUUAUUUGGCGCCAUCAACUAGUCCAUGGAAAAUCGUAGCUCGUGUGCUCAAAGAUUACUCCAUCUAUGAGGGUUACCAGGAUCAUAUUGAAGAUGAAGCAUUGAAACGAGCUACAAGAUUUUAUCCUCCGUGAACAAGCAUAGCAUGUCUAGCCAAAGACAUUAAAGAAAUGCGCUUUUUGGGAGGCAACCCAAUUGUUGAUUUUGUUAUUUUUGUGUUCAAUUUCUUAAAUAUGUCGUUUCUCACUUGGGUACUAAUCACUCUUGAUGUUUCCUCACUAUGACCAGAAUAGGUAAUCUUAGCGUGCCUACGCGAGGAGGGCACGCGUUAAGCGUCUAAAUUCAAGUCUCAUGGUCAGUGGAUGUUUUACAAUCUUAGCGUGCCCACGCGGUGUUUGACGACCCAAAAAUGAAUUAAAAAAUAUAUUUUUUUUUAUUUUAUUAAAAAAAAGAAAAUUUUUUUUAAAGUAAUUUCCAAUUCAGACGAUUCGCGUUGGAGUAAUUUUGAAAAAAAAAAAAACAUUUCCCUUUUCUCUUUUCUUCUUUUUCCUUCUUUUCUUUCUUUCUUUUCUCUCUUUUCUUCUUCUUCUUUCUUUCUUUCCUUUCUUUCUUUCUUCCCCACUGCCCUGCUUCCCUUUUCUUUUAUUUCUUCUUUCGGCCGCCCUCCAUCCGCCUCACCACCUUGCACGCCGCCGCUCGGCCACCCUCGCAGCCGAGCAGCGCAGCUCGUUUCUCUCCGCUACUACCCGCCACGCGCCACCGUCUCCCUUACUCUCUCCAACCCCACCAAUCUCCCUUUCUCAUCCAUUGCCGCACGCCGCUGACCAGCUUCUAUCGCCGCUGCCUCCGAGCUCCAAGCUCCACCUCACGGACCACCUUCAGCAGCUCCAAAGUUCGCCGCCAGCUCCCAGCCGCACCUGCCUCGCAGCUCCCCCUCUGCUCUCUCUCCACUUCGCGUGCCUCCGCCAUCGACCUCCACCAGCACCCGAGCUUGCGCUAUACCAGAAGCGUUCGCCGCCGCCCCUGCUCUCACUCUCUCCGACGCCACCAGCAGCCGCGGAGCUGCCCGCCGUUCCCCUCACUCUCCCUUUCAAGCUCAUGCUCUGCCGCGGCAGACCGUCACACCAUUCCCACAUGUCCAAAUUGACAGGUGGAGGUAUUGACUCGUCAACCUCGAUUAGUAUUCUGCUGGUCCUACUAUGGCUGGAAUUUGCGCUUUUGUUUCGUGGGUUUCUUGAUAGCUAAAAGCAGGGGGUGAUUUAGGCAUUUUUUUUUUUGGGUUAAUUUUGGUGGAACUGAGUUUAUUUGCUGCUCCAUUUGGGGAUAUUCUCUGGUAUUGAUUACAUUGUUGUGCAUUAAUUGGGUUUCGCCUACUUGAAGCCUCUAUUUUCAUCUGUGGGGAUUAAAUUUGAGUUGGCUAUGUGCUUUAGUUUUUCUCUGUGCGGGCACCAGAGGUACUGGUUGUGGUGUUGACUAAAAUUUCUUAAUCCUUGAUGCUUGACUGCCUACUCAACUCUUGGGUUUUAGUGCUUAAAUUGUUUCUCGAAAUCUAAACGGUCGUUGCUAGAAUUGCCUGUUGCUUCGCUUAAUUGCUGAUUUUGGCAGGUUGAAUUGGGGAAUUGACUGUCCAAUUGGAGGCAGCUGUUACCAUUUUGGGACCAAUUGUGUCUAUUUUGCUGUGAUUUGUGUCUAAUUGUGGGUAAUUUGCUUGUUAAAUUGGGAGGUGCCUAUAACGCUGAAAUUUGCUUAUUGAAGUUAGUUGCCUCUGAUUGUCUUGUUUAGGAGCAUUUUAUUCUUUUGGUUUCCUUUACUAAGCUAUUUGGAGCACUUGUUGCAUGAUUGGACUGCCUUGAUUCUGAAUUUGACUACAUUUGGACCACAGGGGCUCAUUGAUUGCAUUUGUUAUUAGUGUUGAGGUAUUCGUAUAACCUGUGGGUGAUUGAAUUGUGCCUAUUGUUCAUUGGGUUGGUUUUAAACAAAAAAUUGUUAUUACUUUGAAAUUCCUGUUUCCAUUAUCUGUUGGCAAUUGUAGUCCCUUGUGAUUAGAGUGACAUCUAGAGAUCAUGGUAAGGCCAAGAUCCGCUUCUAGGUUUAGGACACCUAGACACUCGCAGCCUCCUCCUACCCCAGGGGCUGACGAAUGGCACCGGCUCCAGAUGCGAGUUGAGCGACUAGUGACUUGGAUGACCCACAUUGACGUCAACCUGCAUCACAUGCGCAGAAUUUGGCAGCAUUUAUGCCCCAUGCAGGCCUUGAUCCUCAAUUUCCACCUGAACCGCCCCUGUUUUGAUGACUUCAGGGAAGUACCGUUGCCCCUCUCUUUUCUUCUGUUUUUACAUUAUCACAUUGAGGGCAAUGUGUGACUUAGGUGUGGGGGGGUCAGUUUUGGGUGCUAGUAUUUUCAAUUUUCGAUUUUUAGGUGUUUUUCCUUUAUUUUUAGUUUGAUAUUUAUCCCCUUUUUCGUUUAUUUUCUUUUCUUUUUUCUAGUGGUCAGUCUUCAUAUGAAUACCAAGUUUUGAUGCCGGAUUGUUGUCCCUAAUUCUGUUAUUGCCAAGUUUUAGUGAUAAAAAGGUAUCAAGUUAAUGUGGUUGAGUUCAAGAACAUCUCUUUGGUGAAUAGCAAUAAUUGCUUAACUUUUCCAAUUUUUGGUUAACUUUUCUAGGCAUAGGGAAUGAUUGUUGGCAUUUUUCAUGUGAAUUGGUCCAGUUAUUAAUUUUAGUUCUCCAUGUCUGAAAAUUUGAGGCUAGCUGCUGUUAUUCUUGUGUUACUUUUAGAUAUCGUGCUAUAUGGUUGUAAAUAAGAGUUGACUGUACUCCGCUAGUAGUUACUACUGAGUAACCGGAGAUCUUCACCUAAAGUGUUGAUCUUCGUGUCAAAAGGUAGUAGUUGCUAUGAGUGCGUGGUCCCGUAGCAAUUAGAGCUGAGUAACCGGGCUCCUCCAUCUGUGAAAUGUUGGAGUUCGCGUCAAAAGGUUCUAAGGGUUAUAGACUAAGUCUUUUGUUACUCAAAAAAAAAAAUAAAAAAAACAAAAAAAAAUACCAAAAAAAAAGUAAAGAUUGUGUUAGUAUGUGAAUAAGUCAGCUUGCCGGUUUGUGAUCUUAAUGUCGAGAUUUUGGUUAAUAGCUGGACCAUUUACUGAUAAAUGUGAGCAACCAUUCCUUUUUCUUAGAUUAGUUUGCUUUAAAUUGGAGGAGUUGGUGGUUGAGAAGCUAACCGGAGUGGUUUUUCUUGGAUCUUAACUGUGAUGCUUGAUAUAUGUUUUUCUGGGUAUCUUGGCAAUAUGAUAGUUAGAGCAAUAGCCAUAGUCAAAUUUUGGUGUUCAAUUGCUGUUCUUAUGCUUGAGGACAAGCAUGAUUUAGGUGUGGGGGGAAUUGAUAGGGCAUAAUUUGUUGUUAAUUUUAUGGUUAAUUUCCCUCUUUAUCUUUGCCAAAUAUUGUUUUAAUUAGUAAUAUUUACUUAUAUUUGGUAUUUGGACUUAAUUCCAGGGAUUGGAGCAAGAAACUACAAAAAAAGUAGGGACUUGCUCCAUAAGUGGAAGACUUCAAGAAGGCUCCAUCGACCUGGCCCACAAAGAGAGGAAGAGACGGACUGCAUUUGCUUUCUGAUUAGGAGAUUAGACCUCUACUGGCAAUAGGAAACAAGGAGCAAUUCAGCAGGACCCCACCUUGUGGACUUUGUUUCUCUCAAUACGGCAGAGUUUCCUUCUUGGACUUUGACUCUUAAUUCGGCAGGGCUCCAAUUCUUUUGCUACUUGACUUCUAAUCCGUGGGGAUCACUAGAUAGCAUGAGUCAUUUCCCUUUGGCUUUAAAAAGACAAACGUGUAGAAGGUUUUCUAAUCACUAGUUUUAGAGCUUUUGAGCAUAGUUUAGUUUUAUUCUUUCUUGGUUCCUUUGAUGGCCAGGACUUCAGUUAAAUUACUUGGAGAUUUUCUCAUGAGGCGUGGCUAAGUUUUUCUAGUCGAAGGUCAAUUUGAGGAUUCGGUUUCGAAUAUCUGUGAGAUCUAAUUAUUUUAUUUAUUUCUUUUAUUUAUUGGUAUUUGUGCGUUUUCUGAUUUAAUUGCUUAUGCUUGUUAUGUUAUUUGAAUGUCA
rnacentral:lncRNA from 1 species